rnacentral:lncRNA from 1 species
GUGCCCGGCACACACCGCCCGUUCCACGAACGCGUGAAGCGCACGAAGAGACCCCCUCGCUGCCCGCGCCGCGCAGCUGUCCCGCGGCCUGACGGGCACCUCUCGGCGCACAAGCCUAUUCCUCAGGGACACGCUCGCCUCCCACCAGCCCCCAGGCCCACGCCCCCAGGUACCUCUCCCAGAUGGAAUCCUCUUCGCAGGCGCCCUGGUCGUCCGUGUCCGGCGAGCAGGAAGAGCGGGAGCUGAAGGAGGGCCUCCUCAGGCUAGCGGCCGUGGCUGUGGAGGGCCCGGGCUGCUGUGCCCAGCGGGGACACGGAGCGGCGUCCAGGGACGCCGGGGGAACGGGCGAGCCCGGCCCAGGAGAGAGCAGCAGAGCGCGGCCGGACUCCGCCGGGCUCGGCUCUGGGCAGGCAGGCGCGGCUGGCCGACGCCUCCCCGGACGGCGGCCCAGCAGCCGUGCGCGCUCCCCGCGCGCCGCGCGCGCCGCCGCCCAGAGGCUCCCUGGCCGCUGCCCCGCCCCACCCCCCCCCCCCUCAGGCGGUGGACUGCGGACAGGGACAGGGACACCCUCCUGGGAGAACUCCUGGGGCCCCGCCCACACGCUCGCUCUCGGGGGAACUGCAGCCUCCUCGGGUCUGACUGCAAUGCCACACCCGAAACCAUGCAACGUCUAGAAGAAAACAUAGGCAGUAUGCCCUUUGACAGCAGUCUUAGCAGCCUACUUUCAAGUACCAUGUCUGACUGGGCAAUGGAAACAAAGUACAAAAUGAACAAACGGGACUACAUCAAAGUGAAAAAAAAUCUUCUGCACGGCAAAGGAAACCAUCCACAAAACCAAAACACAACCUAACAACUGGGAGAAGAUACUUGCAAACCAUAUAUCGGAUAAGGGGUUUAUAUCCAAAACACAGAAAGAACUCCGACAGCUCAACAACAACAAAAAAUCAACAACCCGAUUAAAAAGACGGGCAAAAGAUCUGAGCAGUGACUUCUCCAAAGAAGGUAUACGGGUGGCCAACAGGCAUAUGGAAAGGGGCUCAACAUCAUUAGCGAUCAGAGGAAGGCAAAUCAAAACUACAAGGAGAGGUCACCUUCCUCUGGUCAGAAUGGCUCUAAUUAACAAGACAGGAGACAAGUGUCGGAGAGGAUGUGGAGAGAAGGGAACUCUCCUACACUGCUGGUGGGAGUGCAGACUGGUGCAGCCACCAUGGAAAGCCGUAUGGAGUAUCCUCAGAAAACUAAGAAUACAUCUACCAUAUGUAUGAUCCAGCUAGCCCCACUGCUGGGUAUUUAUCCAAAGAACUGGAAACACCAAUGCAGAAAGACACAUGCACCCCUAGGUUCCACUGCAGCAUUAUUCACAACAGCCAAAACUUGGAAGCAACCUAGGUGCCCAUCAAGGGAAGUAUGGACAGAGAAGAUGUGGUGUGUAUACACAAUGGAAUGCUACUCGGCCCAAGAAACGAUGAGAUCCGGCCAUUUGUGACAACGUGGAUGGACCUUGAGGGUAUUAUGCGAAGUGAAAUAAAUCAGAGGGAGAAAGUCA